rnacentral:rRNA from 1 species
GAGUUUGAUCAUGGCUCAGAACGAACGCUGGCGGCAGGCCUAACACAUGCAAGUCGAGGGAGAAACCAUCUUCGGAUGGCGGAGACCGGCAGACGGGUGAGUAACACGUGGGAACAUACCAAGUACUGGGGGAUAACAGUUGGAAACGACUGCUAAUACCGCAUACGCCCUCCGGGGGAAAUAUUUAUCGGUAUUUGAUUGGCCCGCGUUAGAUUAGCUAGUUGGUAAGGUAACGGCUUACCAAGGCGACGAUCUAUAGCUGGUUUGAGAGGAUGAUCAGCCACACUGGGACUGAGACACGGCCCAGACUCCUACGGGAGGCAGCAGUGGGGAAUAUUGCGCAAUGGAGGAAACUCUGACGCAGCCAUGCCGCGUGAGUGAAGACGGCCCUAGGGUUGUAAAGCUCUUUCAGACGUGAUGAUGAUGACAGUAGCGUCAAAAGAAGUUCCGGCUAACUUCGUGCCAGCAGCCGCGGUAAUACGAAGGGAACUAGCGUUGUUCGGAUUUACUGGGCGUAAAGAGCAUGUAGGCGGAUUGGUUAGUUGGAUGUGAAAUCCCGGAGCUCAACUCC